rnacentral:rRNA from 1 species
AGAGUUUGAUCCUGGCUCAGGACGAACGCUGGCGGCGUGCCUAAUACAUGCAAGUCGAGCGGAGAAAUGGGAGCUUGCUCCCAUUUCUCAGCGGCGGACGGGUGAGUAACACGUGGGCAACCUGCCCUACAGACUGGGAUAACUCCGGGAAACCGGAGCUAAUACCGGGUAAUACAUAGCAUCGCAUGAUGCAACGUUGAAAGUUGGCCUUUGGCUAACACUGUAGGAUGGGCCCGCGGCGCAUUAGCUAGUUGGUAAGGUAACGGCUUACCAAGGCCACGAUGCGUAGCCGACCUGAGAGGGUGAUCGGCCACACUGGGACUGAGACACGGCCCAGACUCCUACGGGAGGCAGCAGUAGGGAAUCUUCCGCAAUGGACGAAAGUCUGACGGAGCAACGCCGCGUGAGUGACGAAGGCCUUCGGGUCGUAAAGCUCUGUUGUUAGGGAAGAACAAGUACCGUUCGAAUAGGGCGGUACCUGAC